rfam:Triticum aestivum genome assembly, contig: Triticum_aestivum_CS42_TGACv1_scaffold_393271_5AS
UAUGUACUCCCUCCGUCCAAAAAUACUUGUUCUAAAAAUGGUUGUAUCUAGAUUUAUUUUAGUUAUAGAUAUUUUAUCCAUUUCUAUGACAAGUAUUUCCGGACAGAGGGAGUAGCAA